CGGCACUCUGGGAACGGGUCCUCCGGCCUUUCCUCCGCGCGGGUACCUACCUGCCCGGCCGCGCCUCGCGCUCUCGCAGCUCGGGUCCUCGCCCGGGGGAGGUCCCAGAGCUUUCGGGGUCGGGCGCGCCAGACGCUGCGCACAGCUGGGCCAGAGCGCUGGGGGGCGGGGCUCAGCGCGCGCGGGGCGCGGCAGCUGGGAAUUUCCGAGCCCGGGGCGCGCGCCGGGCCCCGCGGUCACCGUGGGCAGGUGGGGUGAGCCCCGUCAGGCGCAGGUGCUCGGUGCCCGCGGGGCUGCCUGCAGCUCGUCCCCGUGAAAACCCCGCUCCCUGCAGCGGGAGGGCGAAGCGCGUUCCUAACGUUGACGGGAGGCGAGUCUGCGGGGGAGCCGCAAAGACCAGGCGCAGAUGGAGGAGUCUGGACUGCCAGGACCUGGCUUGUUGGGCUGCAGGAACUUCCUUCACUGAGAGACCCCUGGGAGCCUUGAUUACUGGCAAGCCUGGGGCCCAUCCGGCGGCCAUUCCAAAGGUGUAUCUCAGAAAGAUUUUUGGAUGGUGGGCUGCUUAUAGCCUGGAAGCUAUGUAAGUGGUUCAGGACCAACCCAAGCUCUGCAGGCUUGGACGGCAUCAGGUUGCCCUCUGUGGGCCGACGAGAUGCUUUGAGAGCAUGCUCCAGCUGCGAGGGUGAGUAUAGCCAGGCAUCUGGCCCAGGGCACGUGUUUGGAGAGACCAGUUCGUGGGAGUGGGCUAGGAGGAUACACAGCAUCUAUUUCCAAGUGCUAACUCACUCAAAUGCGCAUUUCCCUCCUAAAGGCCGAGCUGAGGAACCUGGAAGCCUUGCAAGAGCUGAUUCCAGCAUGCUGACCAUGGUGUCCUCAGCAAGAGACACCUGCAGAAACCCCGACUACAGAAAGUAAGUACGUUUGUCUCUCACCCAUUUCAGGGGCUGCCUCUAAAGGGCCCUUAGGGGUGAGCACCUUCCAUACUGGAGACAAUGCAGGUAGUUGGGGAGCUGGACAGGGUGAUGUGUGAGCCUCCCACGGUCAGGGGAGGCAGAGACUUGGAACAGAGGCAAUGUCAGGGGAGGUUAGAAGCAGACUCUUGGGGGUGGGAGGGUACCUGCAUCUGCCUGAAUCCGAGUCCCAAUAACACAAAUGCAUAUAUUCCCACGAUGUCUGCUUGAUUUUGGGAGCAAACAGUGCUCAGACUGAUUUUGUCUUUGCUGACAAUGUCUGUAACACCAGUUCACUGUGCAGGUAUCUCCAGCUACUAGCACACAGGGCAAUGCUUUUUAAUUUAUCAUUAAAGAAAUAACAUAUUCCAAACUAAUGCUAGACUGAUCACAGGCAAAGGGAAAUGAAAGCGAUAAAAUUCAAAUGUAUUUGAGGUAUAUUUUUAUAGGAAUAGGCCCUUGGAGAGACACCUGUGCCAACCAAGAUCUGGCCUCCAGCUGCCAGAACCAAAGUAAAAGUCGGGUGUUGCGAAAGCACGUUUCUGGAGAAGGAGGGCACUGGUGUUGAUGGGCCAAAUGUACUUCCCUGAGGGGCCCUUGCAUGGCUUUUACCACUGCCCAUAAGAGGGUCUCCUUUUCCUUAUAAGGAGUUAAUUGUUUCACGGUCUUAGGAGAGAGAUUUUAGGUCAGCAGAGUGUCACUUUGCUAGGACCGAAUCUCCUCGGAUAGACCUUACAGCUGUCGAGGUUCAUAGUCUAAGUGUCACUCUAUCAUAGUUGCUUCUCCUGUGUCUUCACUGCAGCAGCCAAGCUACUGAGUUCUUACAGGUGAGGGCAUGUGGGAUGAUCCCAUCCUGACACAACUUUCUGCUUUCUUAGAUCAAAGCAACUUUACCCCUAAAAACAAUUUUGGGAGGGAAUUCACCGGAAGUAAGUGGAUUUGAAAUUAUAUCACAUCAACACACAACAAUCCACCCUGUGAUUUCAAAUCACUCACACAGUAAUUCACACUGGGGCCUAAUUAAUGUCUUGUACUAAUCCAAGUCCACAGAAACGUCAGUCCGCCCUGAGAUUGCACAUCACUUACGGUCUUAAUCACACACUCAGUCACAGUUUGUGAGUAUUCUCCUUUUGAUGCACGUUCUCAGACCCAUACUUUAAUUACCAGCUCCAGCACCUAUGUACCUAAUAUGAUCACUAUAAGCACAACAAAGUAAUCUUGAACAUGGCGCUGUAUGUAACCGUCAAAUGAUCAAAGGUUAAACUUCUUCUUCUUUUUUUUUUUUAAAGAUUUAUUUAUUUAUUCAUGAUAGACAUUGAGAGAGAGAGAGAGAGAGAGAGAGGCAGAGACACAGGCAGAGGGAGAAGCAGGCUCCAUGCCGGGAGCCCGACGCGGGACUCGAUCCCGGGUCUCCAGGAUCACGCCCUGGGCCAAAGGCAGGCACUAAACCUGAGCCACCCAGGGAUCCCCAAAGGUUAAACUUCUUAAGCCAGUCAUUUUUAACUUCCUUGACAAUCAUGUUUUCAUGUAAAUAUUAUUUUCUUAAGGUCUCCAGGGGGGCGAUGGGGAGGACAUGCAUUAGCACCAUCAAGCAUGUGUCCGUACACCAGAACAUCACAAUUCAAGGCUGCCAUUUGCUUCAGGAAUGCAUAUUUUUACAUUUCCUGAAAAGUUCUUUUACUUUAUUAGCCUCGACUUCCAAAGUUUCUGUACUUGUCUUUACUUUCCUAACCUAUGACAUAUUUAUAAGAGUAAUUUUUGGAGGUUCAUUGUGAAAUAUUUCUCUUUUAAUAGUGCCUUUAUAUUCUCUAGCCUCCAAAAAUAUCAUUUCCUUUUCUUUGUUACAUUCAUGACCUGUUCUAGGUGUACGCAUCCCAUCACAUUGUGUCCUUACAUUUCCCUUGACGCUAGCAGGUUAGGCAGAGGCUGGGCUUAGACCAUACUGUCCUGGUCCAAUUUUCUAAUAUUAUACAAAACUGCCUAAGAAGGCACUGAAGUGCUCACAGGUACUGAAGCCCAAGUUCUAAGAGGUAUAAGGACAUUUUCACUCCAUUCCACCAACACGUCCUUUGGAUCAUGUUUUUCUUUCUGUCAUAAAGGAGCUUUUGUGGACAGUAGGUUUCAUUCUGUCUUUUGAUGUUGGGAAACUAUAGAAGUGUGGUACCCAAUGUUGUAUUUUCUCCUUGACAUGCCAAAAGUCCGAUUUCAUGGUUGCCCAAGGAAUUGUGACCUUUGGGGUAUGUGGUGUCCACUUCACUUCUGGCUGGGUUAUCUAGUAUCUCAGGUGACCAGGAGUGCUCCAAGAUCAUAAAAGUUCUGUGAUUCUUUGUAUCCCACAUUUCAGCCAAUCUUAACUGCAACAAUUGUCAAUCUAGAAUUAGAGAAACACCAUUCAGGUCGGUUUUUCAGUAUUUUGUUAUUUUUAGCAAUUUCUCUAACUGCUUUAUGUGGAAUUCCCAUUGCUCUGGUAACUUCCAUGUGAAAUUCACUCAUAUUUUGUAACAUACUGCUGAUUUUAUCCAUCUAUGUACCCAGUGAUGACAAAGCUGCCAUGGCACAUGUGUUAAAUUGAGACCGUCUGGUUUCAAACUUUUUAAAGCUUAAUAUGAUCUGAUUGAUUUGGAAUUAAGGAAAAGGUGGCUGCCAUUGUUUUUCCACUUAAACCUCCUACCCACCCAGCGAGGAACUGUAAGCAUUUCUUCCUUUUAGUUAACUCUGUUUUGAGCAUAGGUUGCAAAUUGGACAUAAGUGAAACUGGAUAGAACUGAGCACUUUCAGGGAAUCUCUGUCUGGAAAGUCCUGCAUAUUAAAUUUCAAGUCCUAAGCCACUAUUGUAGCUCCCAAUAUGAUUGUGUGAGGAUUUAUUAACAAAGAAUCCCAUAUUCUUGGGGCAGAAAUCUGUGGUAUGAGACUGAAGCCUGCUAUAUACCCCCAAGGUUAAUGGUGUCAUGUGCUAAGUUUCCUAUGUGUCCUCUGCAUGCAUUAGUAGGUGUUCCUGUUCUGCUAAAGUCUAGCCAUAGUGUACGUGGAUCUAUUGUUAAUGACCUAAUCCAUGACCAUUAGUUUGCAAGCUCCUUGGGAGCUUCCUAGAUGUAAUGUGAAGGUGGUCCCUGUUCGGAGGGCAGAAAGAGGCAGGAUUACUAAGCAGAGGCACUUAAAGCAAAAGGAGUAGAUCCCCUACCCACCUGCCACAUCUUAAAGGUUCAAAUAGAGGCCUCACUGGCCUUAGUCAUGUAGACCAUACAGAUGGUCUAACACCACUUUACCAUCUCAAGGCUGUGUCCAUGGAGCAGAUUCUGGGAGCAGGGAAGGACAAGGGGAUGGGACAAGGAGCUUCCAGUUGCCUGGGUCCACUUCACAGCAAGUGGCAGACACUCCACCUUUCAUGACUAGCUCUUCCAACCCCACAUGUACCCCUCUUCUGCAGUGUGCCCUGUGUGGUCAACAAGGGGCUUCACUAGCCUGAAGGUGGUGCCUGUGGUCUGUCUGGCUGCGCUAGAGGCAGAUGCCAUGGCUACAAUGCAAGAGAAAACAAGACAAGGAUUCCCAGAAUUAGUGACAACUUUUUCCACCAGGAGUCCCAUGAUCCCAACCACUGAUUUAUUAAAUCCAGCCUGGUGGCCCGAUCACUCAGGGCAUUUACUUGUAUCCUCAUGGGACAUAAUAAAUGUGAUACAUUAGCAGAUUCAUGAGGUACGAACACAGAGCAUUCCUUCUGAGGCAGUAAUAAUGUCCCAGGCUAUUUUAUUUGAAGGACGGUUGUUCUCAUUAGAGAUGUUUCAGGGUUCAGUAAGGACGAGAUUUUUCAGCAUUCCUUGGAGGCUUAGUGA
rnacentral:lncRNA from 1 species